rnacentral:rRNA from 1 species
GUAGGUGGCAAGCGUUGUCCGGAAUUAUUGGGCGUAAAGCGCGCGCAGGUGGUUCUUUAAGUCUGAUGUGAAAGCCCCCGGCUCAACCGGGGAGGGUCAUUGGAAACUGGGGAACUUGAGUGCAGGAGAGGAAAGUGGAAUUCCACGUGUAGCGGUGAAAUGCGUAGAUAUGUGGAGGAACACCAGUGGCAAAGGCGACUUUCUGGCCUGUAACUGACACUGAGGCGCGAAAGCGUGGGGAGCAAACAGGGAUUAGAUACCCUGGUAGUCCACGCCGUAAACGAUGAGUGCUAAGUGUUGGGGGGGUUUCCCGCCCCUCAGUGCUGCAGCUAACGCAUUAAGCACUCCGCCUGGGGAUACGGCCGCAAGACUG